ACGCACGCUGGCGGCAUGCCUAACACAUGCAAGUCGAACGAGACCUUCGGGUCUAGUGGCGCACGGGUGCGUAACGCGUGGGAAUCUGCCCUUGGGUUCGGAAUAACAGUUGGAAACGACUGCUAAUACCGGAUGAUGACGUAAGUCCAAAGAUUUAUCGCCCAAGGAUGAGCCCGCGUAGGAUUAGCUAGUUGGUGAGGUAAAGGCUCACCAAGGCGACGAUCCUUAGCUGGUCUGAGAGGAUGAUCAGCCACACUGGGACUGAGACACGGCCCAGACUCCUACGGGAGGCAGCAGUGGGGAAUAUUGGACAAUGGGCGAAAGCCUGAUCCAGCAAUGCCGCGUGAGUGAUGAAGGCCUUAGGGUUGUAAAGCUCUUUUACCCGGGAUGAUAAUGACAGUACCGGGAGAAUAAGCUCCGGCUAACUCCGUG
rnacentral:rRNA from 1 species